CCCUUAGAUGUUCUGGGCCGCACGCGCGCUACGCUGACGGAGGCAGCGAGCAUGUCCUUCGCCGAGAGGUGUGGGGAAUCUUGUGAGUCUCCGUCGUGCUGGGGAUAGAUGGUUGCAAUUGUCGAUCUUGAACGAGGAAUUCCUAGUAAGCGCGAGUCAUCAGCUCGCGCUGAUUACGUCCCUGCCCUUUGUACACACCGCCCGUCGCUCCUACCGAUUGGGUGUGCUGGUGAAAUGUUCGGAUCGGCCGUUUGUCGCGGUUUCCGCGGCUCGUGGCUGAGAAGUUCAUUAAACCCUCCCACCUAGAGGAAGGAGAAGUCGUAACA
rnacentral:rRNA from 1 species